rnacentral:rRNA from 1 species
GGGGGAAAGGGGCGCGGCUUGAUGCAGCCUGCCGCGUGUGUGAUGAAGGCCUUCGGGUUGUAAAGCGCUUUUGACGGGAGGAAGGGCCUUGGGUUAAUACCCUGAGGACCUGACGUUUCCGUGAGAAUAAGCACCGGCUAACUACGUGCCAGCAGCCGCGGUAAUAA